CAAAAUAUGCAGCCGUCACUCUAAUUCAACCUCGCCGCUGCUUCAUCCUCCCGCACUCUGAUUUUCACUUCUUCUUCAGCGUCACUGUCACUGACAAUGGGGCGGAAAGCUGCGAUGUCGAGGCAUGUGCGAAGCAGAAGGAGAUAUUAAAUACAUGUAUAGAAUCUCAGAGUAAAAAGAACAGAAAGUCUUGGGGGAGUAUCAAUUAUCAACUGCAGAGGCUUAGCCGAGGAAGGAAGUAG